rnacentral:lncRNA from 1 species
GAUUCCAUCACCAAACAAUCAGCAGUACUUAUUUUUUAGUCCUGUGCUCCUGAAACUACCCUUGAAUAUCUCUAACCCCUGAUCCACUGGGGAGGCUGAUUUGAGAGGCCAGAAGAACUUGCCUGGCAAUUAUGAGUGGAUGGAGGAACUGCCUAUCCCUGUCCCAUUGUCUUGUCCACAGGUCAGCCUCACAAAGGGAAAGAGCCCUGGAUGGGAAUACAGUGGAAGCUCAUUCUCUUAGUGACCUGGGGACAUUGGCUCGAGAUGAAGCCUGGCAGGAGUGGCAACUCCAGGUGAUUUCUGCACCUUUCCUAUUUCCUGGGAGGUGGGCCAGGCCACAGUGUUAGUGGGAAGGGAACAGAACAGCCAGCCUAGUCAGAGGGAGUGUCUGGGGAAGGCCUAGGGGUGGGGGAAGAAGCUGUGCAGGACAGGGCUUGCCAGUCAGAAUGAAGUGGGAGGAAGAUGAGGGACACAGAGAAGCAGAGAGAGGCAGAGACACCAUGGCAGUGAGCAGUGAGGGAGACACUGACUUCAAAAACCCCAGGGACCAGGUGCCCCCAGCUCCACAGUCCAGGACCAAAGAGCCCUGAGAACCCUCCAGUGGCCAAAGAGCUUCAGAAUUACAUGAGCUGGGGUGGCUUUAGGGGCAAGAGGUAGUGGGGGGAUGAAACAUGGGUGUCAGCCUCUGAAGGACAAGGGACAGGUGUGGCUAGAAACUCCUAGGAUUCUGCAUGCAAAUUCAGUCUCUAAAGAGGUUUUGGAUCAUUCAUUUCAUUCCAUUCCUUCAUUUGUUAUGUGAGAGCUCCUGAGUGUGUGUCUGUCUCGCUGGGCCUGUGCUGGUGUAGGGUGUGAGUGGGGAAAGAAAAGGUCCUCUCCUUGAUCCUCUCAUGACAGUGACAUGGACACUUUGGGAAACACAGGAUUUCAGGUUCAGUGAUGGGGGCUAAGAUCUGAGGGGGAGGCCUGGACAUGUUUUUUCCACUGACUCUGAUGGUUGAGGCAGGUGAUUUAGUUCUGGAGUACAGACUAAUCAGUUGACCAUUUUCUCUCACUCCUCUGAGGUUUGGAUGCCUAAGAAGAGAGGUUUUGAGCCAAUAAAUGACUAUGGGGUGCUUGGAAGCCAGUGAGCCCUCACUUCUGGUGGAGGAGAGGAUGAGCCUGUGGCUGCGGACACACCUCAUGUGACCCUGAUCUCCCCUUUGUGAUUGUGUGACUCUGGCUCAGGGACUGUGUCUUCCUGUACCUCAGUUUUCUGUCAAUCAGAUAAGCUAAAUGGCAAAUGGACAGUGGCUUUUCAUGCUAUCUGUGAAUAAAUGUUAAAUGAUUCACAGUCACCUGACCUAAUGCUUGGCACAGUGGAGGUUUCACACAAAUAGCAUUUAUUAUUAAUUUGCUUCCAUGAGAAAGCCCCUUUGCGUCAGAUCCCUGUGGGCAAGCUGCUACCAGGUACAUCUUCUCUCUUGUGUUUCUGCUUCUGGGGACAUUAGACUUUCUAUGGACUGGCCUAAGCCUCCUAAGGCAGUUGUCUGAUGGCCUACAAAGCUUGUCUUUCUGUCCUCUCCACUCUGAGUGUCAGGUGAAGAAAACUCUGUCCUUGCCCAGAUGAGGCUCUGAGGGCUGAGCCCUGGCUGGUGAACAGCUCCAGGAGACACAGUCCUCUGACAGCUGGUAAAUCCUCGGUCCCAGUAAGCCCUGCCCAAGAAGCCACAACCCAGCCCCAGCACAGGCUCCUCAGAUUUAUCUGGAGCAAGGAUUUAGGGACACUGUUCUGGGGGUGAGGCUUCUAGGGCUGAGCUUCUCUGAGAGUAUCUCAGGGGCUCCUCAGGCCAAGCCCUACUCAGUUCUCCAGGGUCUUUCUCAGGGUCAAAUUUAUGAAGAGGGCAUGAGGUGCUUGUCUGAGACUGAUCUCCUCCUGCUGAGUCCCCCCAUCAGACUGUCCUUCCUCUGCAGCGAGUGUCUGCAGGGUCUGGAUGCGGGAAAGGAAUUCUGAUCUGUUGAAAUUUGUCUCCUCUGUGUGUGUCCUGCACUAAAUGCCCAAACCCCAGCAU